ACAAGCCACAGACUGUAAGUGAGGGUGGUAGACAGGGCAGAAGCAGAGGAUAAGGUGGUGGUAGGGGAAGUUAAUGAUUUUAUUUAAGAGAAAUUAUACUGAAUUAGAGAUCAUGGAACUCUUGCACACAGUAUUUCUGUAACUGUACAUUUAUCUUAAAAACAGUGAUCCCAAAGCAUCACUUGAAGCAUAGUAUCUUUACAGCCUGAAAGCACCGUAAAUAAGAAGGAUUUCCUGAACAUUCAGCUGAAAUGUGGUGACAUUUCAAUUCUAUUCAAUAAGCACUAUUCUUAGUGUUGGGAUACAUCAAUGAACAAGAGACACUGUCUAUAACCUCAGGAUGUAGGAAGGAAAACAAAUCAGCGAGAAGACAACCCCCCUUACCGCCCCUGCCCUUAAAGAGGAGACACAGAUGCCCUGUGAACACCUACCACUUGGCUUGAUCUGACAUCUGGGACUCAGAUGAGUCCUCUCUGGCCCUAGUUUCGUUUCUUUGAAUGAAACAGCUCUAUGAGAGCUCUCUUCAGAGUUUGUAUGUUCUCAACACUGUUCCUAGCCAGUGGCAUGAAUAAAUCAACCUACACUAAUUGAAAAUUAGCUGUGGGCAAACACUUUAAAACACUGCUGGGCACCAUGGGGGAUUCCAGGAAGGCUCGGUCCUUGCCUGUAAGAAACUAACAAUUGAGUAAUGAAAAUAAACAGAAACUCUUAACUCUUA